rnacentral:rRNA from 1 species
UACAGAGGUCCCAAGCGUUGUUCGGAAUUACUGGGCGUAAAGGGCGCGUAGGCGGCCUGCUAAGUCGAACGUGAAAUCCCUGGGCUCAACCCAGGAACUGCGUCCGAUACUGGAAGGCUUGAAUCCGGGAGAGGGAUGCGGAAUUCCAGGUGUAGCGGUGAAAUGCGUAGAUAUCUGGAGGAACACCGGUGGCGAAGGCGGCCUUCUGGACGAUGACUGACGCUGAGACGCGAAAGCGUGGGGAGCAAACAGG